UCGCACGGCAACAUCAUAUCACCUUGUAUUGAAUUGCAUCGCAUCACAGUAUUCAAUUUGCAAUAGAAACUUUCUAGUGCCUCAGAAAGUUUUCUAGUGAAAAGUGUUUUCAACAGUGAAAAGAAAGUUAGUUGAAAUGACGACCCCGACUUCGACUUCACACGUGUCAGUUCCAGUUGUUGAAGAGACAAUCAGACUAGAGGAAAAGUGCAGAAUCUUUCGCGACUGCAACAGUGGAGAGUACAUCAAGACGAAGUUUUUGACGGUAUACAAAAAUUACUUGGGAGACAGAGAAUUUGUUGACAAAAUGUUUGGAGCGGGAAGAUUUUUUCCAUGUUCAAACUAUUGAAGCAUUUCGACCUUGAUUAUGAUAAUGAAAAGCAAUCCUUCACAUACACUGUCGAGUUGAUUGAAGAACAAAAACAGCAUUUGACAUGCAUGCAAUUCAUGAAAUAUACAAAGUCAAAUUAGGCGAUGGAAACGAAAUUGGAAACAAUUCUGUGAAAAUAUCUGACGAAAAGUACAUUUGGUAUUAUCUACUGAAUGACGUUCUUUUUUAUACUCUGCCAGCGGAAUAUAAAUUUGAUUGUUUCGAAACCAUAUCCGAGGGCUACGUGGAUUUUAUGAUUAAGGCUGGUCCCGAUAAGAUGGAAAUGCUUCGUGUUAUUACUCACAAUACAGCCCGUUUCAUAAUACAAACUAUGACUUUCCUAACACAGAAAGAUUGCUCUUCAAUUGACCACCAGAUUUUGCAAAAACAACUUAACCUAAUCAAUACAAAAUACAUUCAACCCUUUUUUAGUGCAAGCAGUUUUCAAGAUUUGAUAAACGCGUUUAACUUAUAUUGGAAACAUAGAGAAGAUAUUAUAACCACACUCCCUUUCAAAAUCUGUCAUCCGGGAAUGGAAUCCCUGCAGAAAGUGCUGCUGGAAAUUGUUUCGAUUGCGUUGGACAAAACAGUCGCUGCAGAAGUCCUGGAACCCUUUUUCAAAUCGUAUUGCAAGCUGUUGAUAGAUUUGAAGAAUGUUCAAUUCGGUUGGUACGUCAGAGCGUUUUCCGGUGUCAGCAUAACUAUGUCGAGGAUUUAAAAUUGAUUGAACUUUGCGAUGAAAGAUUUCUUAAUACAUACACUAAAUAUGGAAGAGUCAACACAAAAUUUAAAACCUAUAGGGUUAUAGAAGUGGACAGAUUUAUGAAAACAGCAUCAGCGCUUGUUGAAAGUUCUUUAUACCCAAGGCAUUAUGUUAUCGAAGCGCUGCUAGCCAUGCUGUCGUAUGUUAGAAAGCAACUAACGAAAGUCCAGUGGAAAACAGGUAAUAAACUAUCCGAAAUAGAGCAAGUCUGGACGGCUAAGGAGCUUCUCGAUGCUGUGAGAUAUUCUUGCAUUGAAUUCAAGAAACAAUUUUAGUAUGACUCAUUUGAAACAUUUCUGAACGAACGGACCAGGCGUUCCGCAAAUGCCAUUGCUAAUAGUGGUUCUCAUGCGGACUUUACAAAUCAAAUCUAUCCGCAUACAUUACGAGACGAUUGAUGGAUGUCAGCCGUACUUUCUUGAUAUAAAUAUCCUGGCUUAUUUUUGUUCAUUCAACCAGCAAUGUUGGAAUAAUAAAUUAAGUUUGGUAGUCUCCACCAAUAAAUAAUUUGUCCUAAUAAAAUGCUUUAAGCAGAAGUAAAA